rnacentral:misc_RNA from 1 species
GUAGGUGAACCUGCGGAAGCAUCAUUACAGAGUUCAUGCCCUCACGGGUAGAUCUCCCACCCUUGAAUAUUAUACCUUCGUUGCUUUGGCAGGCCGUGGAAACACCAGAGGCUCCGGCUGAUGCGUGCCUGCCAGAGGAAACAAACUCUGUUUUUAGUGAUGUCUGAGUACUAUAUAAUAGUUAAAACUUUCAACAACGGAUCUCUAGGCUCUU